rnacentral:rRNA from 1 species
CCUACGGGAGACUGCAGUGAGGAAUAUUGGUCAAUGGGCGCGAGCCUGAACCAGCCAAGUCGCGUGAGGGAAGACGGUCCUAUGGAUUGUAAACCUCUUUUGUCGGGGAGCAAAAGACGCCACGCGUGGCGUUCCGAGAGUACCCGAAGAAAAAGCAUCGGCUAACUCCGUGCCAGCAGCCGCGGUAAUACGGAGGAUACGAGCGGUAUCCGGAUUUAUUGGGGUUAAAGGGUGCGUAGGCGGAAGAGCAAGUCAGCGGUAAAAUUGAGAGGCUCAACCUCUUCGAGCCGUUGAAACUGGUGUUCUUGAGUGAGUGAGAAGUAUGCGGAAUGCGUGGUGUAGCGGUGAAAUGCAUAGAUAUCACGCAGAACUCCGAUUGCGAAGGCAGCAUACCGGCGCUCAACUGACGCUCAUGCACGAAAGUGUGGGUAUCGAACAGGAUUAGAUACCCUGGUAGUC